rnacentral:tRNA from 1 species
UCCCUGAUAGCUCAGAGGGUAAAGCGUCUGCCUGCAAUGCUGGAGACCCGGGUUUGAUCCCUGGGUAAGGAA